CCUAACACAUGCAAGUCGAACGCGAAAGCACCUUCGGGUGUGAUUAGAGUGGCGGACGGGGGAGUAACGCGUAGGAAUCUACCUAUUAGUGGGGGGCAACAUGUGGAAACGCAUGCUAAUACCGCAUACGCCCUACGGGGGAAAGCAGGGGAUUUUCGGAGGCCUCGCGCUAUUGGAUGAGCCUGCGUCGGAUUAGCUAGAUGGUAGGGUAAAGGCCUACCAUGGCGACGAUCCGUAGCUGGUCUGAGAGGAUGAUCAGCCACACUGGGACUGAGACACGGCCCAGACUCCUACGGGAGGCAGCAGUGGGGAAUAUUGCGCAAUGGGCGAAAGCCUGAUGCAGCCAUGCCGCGUGUGUGAAGAAGGCUCUAGGGUUGUAAAGCACUUUCAGUAGGGAGGAAAAGUUAGUCGUUAAUAACGGCUAACCCUGACGUUACCUACAGAAGAAGCACCGGCAAACUCCGUGCCAGCAGCCGCGGUAAUACGGAGGGUGCGAGCGUUAAUCGGAAUUACUGGGCGUAAAGCGCGCGUAGGCGGCCUGAUAAGUUAGAUGUGAAAGCCCUGGGCUCAACCUAGGAACUGCAUUCAAAACUGUCAGGCUAGAGUAUGGUAGAGGAUAGUGGAAUUUCUGGUGUAGCGGUGAAAUGCGUAGAGAUCGGACGGAACAUCAGUGGCGAAGGCGGCCCUCUGGAUCGAUACUGACGCUGAGGGGCGAAAGCGUGGGGAGCAAACGGGAUUAGAUACCCCGGUAGUCCACGCCGUAAACGAUGUCUACUAGCCGUUGGGGAACUUGAUUCUUUAGUGGCGCAGCUAACGCACUAAGUAGACCGCCUGGGGAGUACGGUCGCAAGAUUAAAACUCAAAUGAAUUGACGGGGGCCCGCACAAGCGGUGGAGCAUGUGGUUUAAUUCGAUGCAACGCGAAGAACCUUACCAAGACUUGACAUCCUAGAAAGUUACCAGAGAUGGUUUCGUGCCUUCGGGAAUCUAGUGACAGGUGCUGCAUGGCUGUCGUCAGCUCGUGUUGUGAAAUGUUGGGUUAAGUCCCGUAACGAGCGCAACCCUUGUCCUUAGUUGCUACCAUUUAGUUGAGAACUCUAAGGAGACUGCCGGUGACAAACCGGAGGAAGGUGGGGACGACGUCAAGUCAUCAUGGCCCUUACGUCUUGGGCUACACACGUGCUACAAUGGCCGGUACAAAGGGUUGCCAAGCCGCGAGGUGGAGCUAAUCUCAUAAAACCGGUCGUAGUCCGGAUUGGAGUCUGCAACUCGACUCCAUGAAGUCGGAAUCGCUAGUAAUCGUAGAUCAGAAUGCUACGGUGAAUACGUUCCCGGGCCUUGUACACACCGCCCGUCACACCAUGGGAGUGGGUUGCUCCAGAAGUGGCUAGUCUAACCUUCGGGG
rnacentral:rRNA from 1 species